CUCCGCCCCCUCACUCCCUAUUGGCCGCGAUCCUGAAUCCCGCAGUUCACUUAUGCAAAUUUAAGGAACGCUCAGCUUCUAUUUGGUGAAUACUUUGAGGGGAACCUCUUCGACCCUGAAGGGACCCCGGAUGUGUAGAUCGGUUUGCGCUUUCUCAAGCUAAACCCCAAUGUCAGUCAUGCAGUGCAGAAGUCACAGAAUGGGAUGUCACCCAAAACAUUACGUCAUCUGAUUGACCAUUUCCCCGCGGUUUUCCUACUGUCUAAAUCGCUAUCUAAUCUAGAUGGAUGAGGUCCUCGCGCGGGCCAGCUCCUGGGCAGCGGCGUCACCUAUAGCUCCUCCCUCUGCGGAAAGGCUGGGAGCGCGGCGGGUUUUGGAGUGUAGAAGGAACCGGCACCUGAAGCUGGGACAGGCUUGCAGGCCGGAAGUAGAGGAGAGGUGACGUUCGAGUGCUGGCGUGGCCUGGGCCAUUUCCAGGGGGAUCUUAAAGCGGCAUAUUGGUAGGCUUCUCAAACACGGGGAGGUCGCCCGCAGUCUCCAGCUCCCAGCGCCGUUCCAUCUCUGAGCCACUCAGUGGCAUUCUAGUCCCACCUCCUCGGAGUCUUCCUGUGCGGAAUAAUUACUACUCAGAUACACAUGUGGGACCUAUUAUAAGAACUGGAUGUAUAUGAACUCAUUUAAUUCUUACCACAACCCCGUGUGGUAGGUACUAUUAUUAUCUCCAUUUUACUGGGAACUGGCACAGGCAAGUUAGGUUAGAUGAUUUACCCAAGGUCAAAGGCAGCAUGGAGUUAAAACUCUUAGCAUCCAGAAAGCUAAACACUAUUUCACAGAUUCCCUUGCCAGGAAGAUUCUGGGUAGAAGUUUGUUCUUCAGUCAGAUGCACUUUCAUUCAUUGAAGAAAUAAUUCAACCAAUAUUUUUCGAACACUGGGGUACAACAGUAUUGUAGGCACUGAUACAGCAGUGAACAAAGCAGAUUAGAAUUCCCAUGCCCAUGAAAAUGUAGGUUCCUGUGGAGAAGACGAUAAAUAAGAUAAAUGAGUAAAAUACAUGGAAACAAGUUAGAAUCGAUCAUUGCCUGGGGAAGAAAAAUAAAGCAGGACUAUCAAGCCAUGAAAAGACGUGGAGGAACUUUAAAUGCACAUUGCCAACGGAAAGAAGCCGAUCUGAAAGUGCCAUAUACUGUGAGAUUCCGAGUAUACAGCAUUCCGGAAAAGGCAAAGCUGCGGACACAGUAAACACACCAGUGGUUGCCGAGCGUUCAGCUGGAGGAAGGGAUGACAAGGUACACAGGGGAUUUGGGGAGCAGUGAUACUAUAUGAUACUAUACGAUAGUAUCUGUAUGACACUGUAAUAGUGGAUACAGGACAUUAUACAUUUGUCAAAAGCCCUAAUGUAAACUAUGGACUUUAGUUAAUAAUUGUGAAUAUUGGUUCACUAAUCGUAACAAAGGUACCGCACUAAUAUAAGAUGUAAUGAUAGGGCGAAGGAAGUAUAUGGGGAUUCUUUGUAAUUUCUGCUCGAUUUUCCUAUAAACCUAAAACUGAAAGAGUCUAUGAAAUUUUUUUAAUGCGAAAAUAAAGCAGGAAAGGAGGACAGGAAGUGUGGGGAGGGUUGCAAUUUUUGAUAGGGUGGACAGUGCAAGCCUUUCUGAGUAGGUGGCAUUUAAGUAAAGGCUGAAAGCUGGCAAGUGAGCCACACGGCUAUCUGGGACGAGAACAUUCCCAGAAGAGGGAACAAAUGUGAGGGCUUGAGGUGGGAGCGUGUUCCAGAGAGGUCGGGGAGUGGAAGUCCUCAGGUCAUGAAAUACUUUGGGGAAUGUUGAAGGACUUUGGUUGUUUUCUCACAGUGGAGUGGGAAGGAGCCAAAUGGCGUGGUGGCCUGAGCUUUUAAAAUGGUUGGAUGUGGGGUACGAAAAAGAAAAACUCAAAAGCUUGGGGCCUGAGGAAGUCAGAGAACGGUGGUGCCGUCUCCUGAGCUGGGGACACUUUAGGAGCAGGUUCUGGGGUAAGGUCAUGUUUCUGUCAUGUUCCAUCAUUACGCAUCUAAGUGGAGAUUUAAAUUCGGGUGUCAUCGGCUUACAGAUAGUCUGUACAAUCCAGGGAGAAUGAAUGAGGUCGCUAAGGGAAAGUAUGAGGACGGAAAAGAGGACAAGUCCCAGGACCGAGCCGCAGGGACUCCAAGGAUGAAGUCAGCAAGGCGGGAGGAAGCAGUAAAGGAGACCGAGGAAGAAGUGCAGUGAGAGGAAGGAGGGACCAGGACGGCACAGCUGUGUCCUUGAACCAAAUAAAGUGUUUCCAGGGGAAGGAAGAAUGACAGACUGUCAUAUGCCACUAAAAGAUCGAAUAAGAUGAAGCCUGAGGGCUGACCAGUGGAUUAAGCAAAAUGGAGCUCAUGGUGAUCAUGAUAAAGACAGAUUGGGUGGCUUGGACAUUUUGGUUGUUCCAGGUUUGGCCAUUGCGAACAAAACUACUACAAACAUUCUUGCACUUGUAUUGUGAUGGACAGGUGCACAAAUUUUUCUCGUGUAUAGAGCAGAGUCAUAGGGGAUAUGUAUGUUUAGCUAUCAUACAGGGUACCCGUUUUCCUAAGUAUUCCAAUUGGUUAACAAAGCUGAAAAAUGAGCGGGUUACACUGCAGAACCUCAGGAUGAUGACGAACCAGCAACAUCAGGUGCCAAAAGGGAGCAGAACGGGGGUGGGGGUGAAAAUAAUCAUCAUCUCUGAGGAGGCGGAGGUGGGCUCACGAAGGCAUGUUUGUGGCUUCAGAUUUGUUCGUUUUUAUGCUUCUCAAUUUACAUUCACGUUAAGCGUUUUAUGUGUCAAAUACUAUUUAUCUCUUUAAAGAUAAUAAAGGAUUACGUGAAUUUUA